CGCUUCUCCAGUCUUCUGAGCAUGGCAUGGUCCAACUCCCUGAAUACAAAUUAGAAAGAUUAUAAAGAAAGCCGUAACAAAAGAAAAAAAUAUAGUUUUUUUCUCAACAAGCACUACUCACCAAGGUAACGGAACAUUUAGACCUGGUGGUCCAUACAGGAGUAAACCCUUCCAUGGUGACAGAAUUCCAGUGAACAGCUGCGGAUACUGGAAAAAAAGAAGGUAGGUGGAUAGUGGUUAGAACUAGAUGGUUGCUAUGGUCGAUGGGAUGUUUAUCGAUUAACUGGGGGUUGCUGGGUGGUAGUUUUAAUCAAUUGUUCUGGGUGAUUACUAUUUGUAAUUUCGAAAAUAACAUUAAUGCGAUGUUGUUAGGUUUUCACAUUUUUUAUGGUGGUCGCCAAAACACUUUUACGUGGCUGUUAGGUACUUGCUUGCUUUGCCUGGUUACUAGGUUGUUGAUGUUUGGCACGUUACUAAAGUGUUUUUGGUAUCUUCUAAGCAGCUGCUAGGUUUUGCUAUAGGCUGGGUGUUGCCAUUCUGCUCUAUGUGGUCGAUUGAGAGCUGUGUUGGUGUUUUGGGUGGUUGUUGGAGCAUUAAUAGUUGUUCUAGGUCAUUUCCAGCUGGUUGUAGUGGAGUUGUAGUGCAUUGCUAUAUGGCUGCUAGGCAGUUGCUUGGGCUUUCUAGGUGGUUGCUAAGCAUAAAGUUUCCAAGGAUGUUGUAAAAAAUCCAUUCAACGAAAUGUUGAAAGGGUAAAAAUAUUUAAGUUUAACUACUUUUACUGCUUGUGCUUUGUUGAGAAGACAUAUUAUGUUACGUCUAAAAUAUUUAAAAAACAUUCAAAUCCAGUCGACAGACUGCUAAUUGUUAAAUAAACGAAUAAAUACGAAUCCAGCCAACAUCGAGAUCAUUCUGCACGUGCAAGCCAUUGAGUGACUUCGUGGGAGAACCAGCGCCGCUAUCUUGUCAAGUUCACGACUCAGGUAAGUCCCACUAAAUACAUGUUAUAGUAAAUUUAAGGACAAAAUUAAGGACAAAAUCAUGCAACAUAUUCGUUUGUAAAUUUGAAGAAAUGUAGGUAUAGGACAUCUGAUAUUGAUACAUUGUAAAUUAUUUAAACUUUUUUUGUUUAAUUUAAAAUGUACUUUUCUUUCUCCAUCAGGGUGUGGCUAAAGGUUUUUAUUGGUGCUCUGUCAUCGUUGCAAGAUUUUAGAUGCAACCCAGUCAGUUGAGUCCCAUUCCUGAUGAGAGGAGACACAUUGAGACCGAACCUUGAAGCGUCCGCUGGCGUCAGCUGCUCUCCUUCCUGGACACGUCACGCAAAUUUAGAUUCGGUCUUCUUCACGGCGCUUCUGGAUGGAGGUCGCUGGAUGGAGUUGAUUCUUGGGAGCGUGUGACUCGAUGAUGUCCUUUCACAGAUGUGAACAAACAUGUCAUGCCCUGGAGAUGUUUCUGACCCACCUGAAUGUCCGCCCGUGUCCACAGCCGUCCCGAACAGCAGCACGUACUCUGUGAGAGAAGCGUGCAGCAGACACAUGGAGCCCAUCCAGCCGCCGGCGUUCAC